UUCAUUAUUUGAAGUGCUACUUUGCCAAACUGCUGCCAGCGGCGGGCAGGAAGGAAAAGCCUCUUGUCGCGGGUGCUCCACAUCACAGAGUUGUAAAGCCCGGAGCUGCACCCGCCCCAUCCCGAUCCCGGAGCGGGCGGCCCCUGGCUGUCGCACGGCUCAGCCACUCGCUCCCGGUGUUCCACCCUCCUGGAGCACACUAGGAGGCGCGGCGAGCUUGUUUUUUCCUCAGGGAUUCCGCUUCUCCCGUGAGAUCCUUGCGGGCUGUUCCAGCGCCGUGUGCCGGGACUCCGCGCUUCCUGACCUGUCCUGCCCCAGCAGCACCGCGACUCUCGGGCUGAGCGCUGUUGGGACGGCACCGUGUCCCAGGGAUAUCAAGGGACAUAGACCUGCCCACAGCACCCCCAGGCCGUGCUGUGGAGGUGAGCAAGGAGCCAGGAGCUGCCAGCCCCAAGUCGGGGGGAGAGGCACAAGUGCCUAUCUCAUCCAGGGGGUGUCAGGGGACACAGGAGCUGCAGACAGUGCCUGGUACAGAGGGGACUCCACUGCCUUGUGCUGCUGCCUCACCUGCAGCCACAGCCUGCGGCCCCUCAGAGCAGGGCAGCCCAGAAGAGCCAGGCUCACCCUCAUCUCACUUCUGCUGUCAGGAAUGGGACUGAGAGAGACCCUUCAUGCAGUGAGGAACAUGUGACAUGUAUUUAAUCAGCAAGGGAAGAGGCCAGGCUCCUUGCUGGGUAGAGCUCCCUGUAGAGGAUAACCCGUGUGGCUUCUGGGUGACAGACACCCUGGCUCCAGCUGGUAGACACCCCAGCUAGUUUGGAUUAGAGAUGCUCCUGGUUCUCACAGCUCUGACUGAUAAAUGCUCCAGCUGCUUACAAUUCAAAGUAUUUGAUGCUCUAAGUGAUUUCAACUCCUGCCUCUUCCAGAUCCAGAUCACAGUUGUGGCUGCUCUGCUGAGGCACAAGAUGCUCCUGCCAGCAGAUGUCCUCCCCUUGUUACACCCUGAGUUAGGGAAACCUGGGUUUCUCUUGAGUUUCAGGUGAUUCCAUCUCCUGGAUGUGGGAUGCUAAUUACAGGCAGUGGGUGUUCCACCUCAGGUUAUUUGAAGCCCUGAGCUAUUUUGGCUCCAGCACACACCAGAGAAAAUGUGCUCCCACUGCUUCUGGAGGCAGAAAUUAAGUAAGUUGGGGGAUGUUUGUAAACAGUCUGAAGGACUCCCAGAAAUGGGAGACAGCCUGUCUCACAAAGCACACUGGUAAGGUCUGAAAGGCCUCCAAGACCGAGUCCUACUAUCAACCUAACACUGCCAUGUUCACCACUCAACCACAUCCCCAAGUGCCACAUCUGCUCAUUUUGUUAGCACUUUCAGGGCUGGUGAUUCCACCACUUGGGCAGCCUGUUCUAAUGCCUGACCACCCUUUCCAUGAAGAAAUUUCUCCUAAUAUCCAAUCUAAAGCUCCUCUGGCACGACUUGAGGACAUUUCAUUUCCUCUCAUCUGUCACUUGUUUACCUGGGAGAAGAGAUUGAUCCUCACCUCUCUACAAACUCCUUCCACGUAGAUGUAGAGAGCAAAAAGGUCUCUCCUAAGCCUCCCUUUUUCCAGGCUAAACAUCCCCAAAUCUGCACUGAUCCCACAGGGACAUGAGAUGAUACAGUGGGGCGUGAUCCUGAUCAUCAGAUCAGACACUCCCUUCUCUCUUCAAGGCUAAUGCGGUGUGAGUAUUGAUGUAGUGUAUGGUGGCAAAAGCACAACUAAUGCAAGCCCCUCCUGAAACAGCCUACCUACUUUUCCAGGGUGGUUGUUGUUGUUUCCAAGAAGAUCUUUUGCUGUUCCUUCAUUUUUGGUGCACAGCAGUGGUGGUGCUGCCUGCAUGAACUACAGGGAAAUAAACCAGACCACCAAGUUUCACAUCCCACACUGUUACUAAUGGAUACUAUUUCUUUUCUUCCCCCAGACCUGGCCCCUAAGCAGGUUUGUGUUUUGGGAUCCUGUGCAGUGUGAUCUGGGAGAGCAGUCAGUCACCAGAGGGCACCAGGGAAGAAGGAUGCUGAGAGCUCCACUUCUUUCUCUGCUUCACAGCUCAGCACAUGAAGGAGGGACUGUUCUUCAGCACUGCCCUGCUGCUUCUGCUGCUGCUGUUUGUCCACAGGCAAUUUCACCAUGACAAAACAUUUCUGCUCUGGCACAAGAUCACAACAAUUUAGCAGUGAGGAGGAAAAAUCUCAGUCACUGGUACCUAUUCGAACAGCUAUGAAUGGAUGUAAAAACUGAGGGUAUCUAUCAAGUUGUCCUUGCCCUUUGUUUAUGUUCAGGACAUUUCACAGAGUGAGCAGUGGCUGCCAUUGGGGUGCUUCAACUCCCUCCCUGGGACUUGCUGUCUCAAUGAAAUCAGAGAGCUGGGGAAGAAAACAUGACUGCAGACAUGGAAAGUUGUUAGAAGAAUCUGAUGUUAGCAGCUUAAUAGACUGUUGUGUUCACUGAGAGGAAACAGAGGCCUUAGAUAUUUCCCAGGUGUGUUAAUUCUCAGCUAAGACAGGUUUUGGCCUGCAAAGCAAGGUAGAGUCAAAACACCUGUAAGACAAAGCAGGGUUGUGAAGGAUUACAGCUCUAAGCCUAAAUUCAGGAGGUUGGAACACAUCAGUAAAAUGCAGCUCACUCUGAGCAGCAGGGAACCUGCUAGGAAAUCUCCCACUCAAGUAAAAUAUGUGAUGUUAACAUCACAUGAUUUAACUGGUACUUUUCUGGGGCACAGUUUAAGUCAUUUGUUAUGAGAAUGUUAAACCUUACAAGGGAAAGGCCCAUCAUGUUAUUUCCAGGGCUAAUGAGACAGACCAAAUGAUUCCUGAGAGGUUUGACACCAAGCUGGAAAUACUGCACAGUAUCAUGCCAGCCUGAUCUGCAGCUCAAAAUUCCUGGUAAGCAUCAUGUUGAUCAACAUUAGAUUCAAUACCUACAUCCCUUCCUUGAGGUUUAUCACCUCGAGUCUUUCAAUAGCAAUUACUCAUACAAGAUAUGUUUCUUCUCCUUGUAAUAAAGUUUUAUCCUGUUGUUAAACAUUGCCUCCCAGUGCUGAGGUGAAAGCUCAGAGCUUCAUUCAAGUCCAAACAAAGAAGGGGCACAGUCCAGGGCACACCUUGGUUGGUGUUGCUGCUGUGCAGCAGAUUUCACCUUUCAUUUUGGUUAAUGGACAGCUGGUGGUGACCUCUGCCAGAUUUAAUAUUUAAACACAGCAAGCAAGCUGUUUCGAAGGACUGUCUGGUAAGGUGAUACCUCACUUAUGGUGUGUUUAACAUCUCAGGAUUUUUAUGUUGUGAACUGAGCAAAGCUCACAUGUGUGUUAUGGCUGUGCCUCACAUAUGACCAAGCACAAAACAUAAGUGUGUAAGGUUGAACUCCGUAUUUGACAAGUUGCUAACAUUAAGUAAUUCUGCGAUACACCACAGGUUUGUCCAAAGAUAGAUGAGGGAAAAUUUAUGAUCACUUUUUGUGCAUUACCUGACAAAUAAGCACCUGGGGCAGGCAUGGCCUUGGAAACAGUAUGACAGAGAAAGUUUUAUGAGGGUAGAAUUCAUUACUGAGUUUUGCACUCCUGAAGGCACAGGUUUCAAGCCUGCAGCAAUACGUGAACCUUGAUCCCGUGGGAGCCCUGCAGCAGUAAAGCCGAUGAGAUGCCGAAGUGUGCACUGUCUCUCCUUAAUGAAAUAUAUAAUCUUAUCUCUGAGGAAUAAUUUCCUACACUGCAUUUCUUUUAUUGCUUAUUUGAAUGUGAAUGGCUCUGUACUAUCUUUAUACAGGACCACAAAACAUCCUAGCAGCUACCAGAGUUGAUAACACAGUCCCUUCAGAGUGUAUGUACAUGUGUCCUAUACAUGUGUCUAAGAGAAAAAACUUCCCAGUGAAGUUAAAUUGCUCCUGGCCAGCUUCCAAAACUGCAGAAAGGCUGAAUUCCUUUCACUCAAUGUUUCAGACUCUAAUGCAAGCAUCAGCUGGGGCUUUCCUUCAGACAGUCUGCUCCAUGCCUGAAGACAGGAACAACUGCAAAUUGACACAUUCAGAAACAAUCUCAGGGAUACCUGUGCCCACAAUUAAAAAAAAACAAAACCAAACCCAAUUCAUAUUGGCUCUUAGAAGUAGAGCAAAUAUCUGUGCAAACAAAAUAACCACAGUUUUUCAUCUCCUUUUGCUGUUGUUGUUGGUUGGUUGGUUUAAGCUGGACCACCAGUCAUGCUGAGAGCAACAGUCACCUCUCUCUGCAUCCUCUGCAAGUGCUCCGGUUUUUCUUAACUCAUGGAAGAAUAUCUUGAGUUGGAAGGGACCCAAGAAGGGUCCAUAAAGUCCAACUCCUGGCCCAGCGUAGGACA